AUUAAAGCCUGUGGACUGAUUUUCAUGCGAAGGGAGCGGGUCCCUUUUGCCAGGAAAAUCCAAAGGAUGUGACGUAUAUGCGUGCUCCCAAGAGCCUUGCCUCAGACAGUAAUAGCUUCUCUUCCGCUAUUCAACAGCGACAACAAACUGCAACACUAGGUAACGUUAUCUUAGAGAUGGAAUCCAGCAAACGGCCGGUUCCCAGCACAACACCGACUCAUACACAAACUCAGAGUAAGCCAAAAAAAAAAAAAAAAAACAUUAAUCUACUGAAUCCUGUCUAGCUAAGUGGAAACGUGAUUGUGGUCGAGUGAAAACUAGAGUGAACAUCGGCAGGGCAUUUGAUUCCUGGAGGGACCAUUGUUUGGUUUUGGGGAUCAAAACAGACCCUGAAUUGGCAUUCUUCUUAUUGGACAGUGGCAAAUUGGAGAGGCACUUCAGCUCAGCAAGAUAGGUCUGUUAUCUGCGGUCCGCAGAUGACAACAUAUGUUGCAGCAUCCAGUGUUUUUGAUGUGGAAAUUGUUGAGAGAAAUUCUAUGCGUGAAGCUGGAGCUCAGGCUCAAACUGCAGUCCUCUUGACUCAUUGUACUCCAAAUGCUCCCCAGUGUUAUUGUUCUUCACUUUAUUGUUCCAAUUUAAUAAAACUAUUUGCCCAG